AUUGAACGCUGGCGGCAUGCUUUACACAUGCAAGUCGGACGGCAGCACAGAGAAGCUUGCUUCUUGGGUGGUGAGUGGCGAACGGGUGAGUAAUAUAUCGGAACGUACCGAGUAAUGGGGGAUAACUAAUCGAAAGAUUAGCUAAUACCGCAUAUUCUCUGAGGAGGAAAGCAGGGGACCUUCGGGCCUUGCGUUAUUCGAGCGGCCGAUAUCUGAUUAGCUAGUUGGUGGGGUAAAGGCCUACCAAGGCGACGAUCAGUAGCGGGUCUGAGAGGAUGAUCCGCCACACUGGGACUGAGACACGGCCCAGACUCCUACGGGAGGCAGCAGUGGGGAAUUUUGGACAAUGGGCGCAAGCCUGAUCCAGCCAUGCCGCGUGUCUGAAGAAGGCCUUCGGGUUGUAAAGGACUUUUGUCAGGGAAGAAAAGGCUGUUGCUAAUAUCGACAGCUGAUGACGGUACCUGAAGAAUAAGCACCGGCUAACUACGUG
rnacentral:rRNA from 1 species